CAGUGCGCCUGGAUCCCGCGGGGCAGCCUCUCCCUUCCUCUUCUGCUCAGCCGGUCCUUCCGCCUGCGGACGCCUCCUGGGUUCUCUUUCGCCUUAACGUCUGUCCAGGGCCCUGCAGCAACAGCAUUUGAGGUGAAGAUGGAGCUCUUAGGAGAAAUAGAUUUUAGCUCAUUUAUGAAGAACUUUCAUUUUAUGUCCUUCUUAAGUGAAGGGAAAACUCCCUGGAACGCGUUCAGUGAGGCCUGGAAAUCACCGAAAUCCUACACUAGGAACUGUGAUGGGCAAAGAAGGAUGACUGCUUGCUCUCCAACAGUAAGCAAUUCCUGUGGAAAAAUUAGACGCUUCAGCAAAAUCGCCUGCACAACGUUAACUUCCAAAGCUGUGCUUGAUAAAAGGACUAUGCCUUGAAAGGUGAGUAAAUUAAUAUACCUAUUAUAUAAUCACCCAGAGGCAAAGAAAGAUUGUCCAAGGUUUCAGAAGAAACAAGCACAAAUUGACUUUCUCAUAAAGCCUGGAUGUCAUUUAGUUGCUUAUGUUAGUUUUUGC
rnacentral:lncRNA from 1 species